rnacentral:rRNA from 1 species
UACCCUGAACGGUGGAUCACUUGGCUCGUGGGUCGAUGAAGAACGCAGCUAAUUGCGCGUCAACAUGAACAUCGACAUUUCGCACAUUGCGGCCAUGGAUACAAUUCCCGGACCACGCCUGGCUGAGGGUCG